CCUACGGGCGGCAGCAGUGAGGAAUAUUGGUCAAUGGGCGCGAGCCUGAACCAGCCAAGUAGCGUGAAGGAUGACUGCCCUACGGGUUGUAAACUUCUUUUAUAAAGGAAUAAAGUGAGGCACGUGUGCCUUUUUGUGUGUACUUUAUGAAUAAGGAUCGGCUAACUCCGUGCCAGCAGCCGCGGUAAUACGGAGGAUCCGAGCGUUAUCCGGAUUUAUUGGGUUUAAAGGGAGCGUAGAUGGGUUGUUAAGUCAGUUGUGAAAUUUUGGGGCUCAACCGUAAGAUUGCAAUUGAUACUGGCAGUCUUGAGUACAGGUGAGGUAGGCGGAAUUCGUGGUGUAGCGGUGAAAUGCUUAGAUAUCACGAAGAACUCCGAUUGCGAAGGCAGCUUACUAAACUGUAACUGACAUUGAUGCUCGAAAGUGUGGGUAUCAAACAGGAUUAGAUACCCGUGUAGUC
rnacentral:rRNA from 1 species